GGCCUCGUGGCCCAAUGGCAAGGCGUCUGACUACGAUGGAACACUUCCGCAAUCAGGAGAUUCUGGGUUCGACCCCCAGCGAGGUCA